UACGGGGGGGAGCAAGCGUUGUUCGGAUUUACUGGGCGUAAAGGGCGCGUAGGCGGUCAGUGCAAGUCAGUUGUGAAAUCUCCGGGCUUAACUCGGAACGGUCAACUGAUACUGCUCGACUAGAGUGCGGAAGGGGCAACUGGAAUUCUUGGUGUAGCGGUGAAAUGCGUAGAUAUCAAGAGGAACACCUGCGGCGAAGGCGGGUUGCUGGGCCGACACUGACGCUGAGUGCGCGAAAGCCAGGGGAGCGAACGGG
rnacentral:rRNA from 1 species